GUGCCAGCCGCCGCGGUAAUACCGGCAGCACGAGUGAUGACCGCUAUUAUUGGGCCUAAAGCGUCCGUAGCUGGCCAUGCAAGUCCAUCGGGAAAUCCGCGCGCUUAACGCGCGGGCGUCCGGUGGAAACUGCAUGGCUUGGGACCGGAAGACCAGAGGGGUACGUCCGGGGUAGGAGUGAAAUCCCGUAAUCCUGGACGGACCACCGGUGGCGAAAGCGCCUCUGGAAGACGGAUCCGACGGUGAGGGACGAAAGCUCGGAUCACGAACCGGAUUAGAAACCCCGCGUAGUCC
rnacentral:rRNA from 1 species